UAUUUGAAGUGUCGGCCCUUACAAAAAUAUCUCUCUCUGAGAUCGGAGCCUGCCAUGUCCGAUGAGGAGCACCACUUCGAGUCGCCGACGCCAGAGCCUCUAAGACCUCUCCUCAGCAUUUCAUAGUUUGAUUGAAUGGGACGGGAGGCAUUCAAUUCCCUCCAAACGUAACUCAACUUCAAAGAUCAAAGCAACAGUGAAGGAAUUGGGUUGCUAUCGUUCACUGUGAGCCAUGAAAGUUCUCGAAGUGUUGGAAGAGAUUUAAGUUUGAAUUCAUUAAGCUCAGUGGCAAAUGCACGAAGUCAGCUACCGUAAAAUGUCAGGGUUAUCGAGAUGAGUCUGAAUGAUUUCGAUUUCAUGAUACAAUCCCGGCGUUUCUUAUAGGAAGAAGUGCAUCAUAUUCUAGUCCUCCAGAGCCAAAAGUUGCUAGCAUUGAUUGGAAUUUUAUUAGCUGGGGAGAUUGGAUUGUGGAAUUUUUGUGAUGUACUACAUGGAGAAACUUUUGAAAGAGGAGGGGAUUCAGAAGACACUCAGCAAGAAGUAUAUUUUGCAAUAUAGAGCUCAUAUAAUCAAGACAUUUGCGAAACAUAUGCAGAUUUGGAUCUCUACAGAUUUAGAGUUUUAGAAAUUUGUUUAGGGCUUAGGAUGCAAGUCACUGGC